UACGGGGGGGGCAAGCGUUGUUCGGAAUUACUGGGCGUAAAGGGCUCGUAGGCGGCCAACUAAGUCAGACGUGAAAUCCCUCGGCUUAACCGGGGAACUGCGUCUGAUACUGGAUGGCUUGAGUUCGGGAGAGGGAUGCGGAAUUCCAGGUGUAGCGGUGAAAUGCGUAGAUAUCUGGAGGAACACCGGUGGCGAAGGCGGGUCUCUGGACCGGUACUGACGCUGAGGCGCGAAAGCGUGGGGAGCAAACAGG
rnacentral:rRNA from 1 species